rnacentral:piRNA from 1 species
UUAUAGCAAUGUUGCGACAAGGGGUCUA